rnacentral:rRNA from 1 species
GACGAACGCUGGCGGCGUGCCUAAUACAUGCAAGUAGAACGCUGAAGGAGGAGCUUGCUUCUCUGGAUGAGUUGCGAACGGGUGAGUAACGCGUAGGUAACCUGCCUGGUAGCGGGGGAUAACUAUUGGAAACGAUAGCUAAUACCGCAUAAUAGUAGAUGUCGCAUGACAUUUGCUUAAAAGUUGCAAUUGCAUCACUACCAGAUGGACCUGCGUUGUAUUAGCUAGUUGGUGAGGUAACGGCUCACCAAGGCAACGAUACAUAGCCGACCUGAGAGGGUGAUCGGCCACACUGGGACUGAGACACGGCCCAGACUCCUACGGGAGGCAGCAGUAGGGAAUCUUCGGCAAUGGACGGAAGUCUGACCGAGCAACGCCGCGUGAGUGAAGAAGGUUUUCGGAUCGUAAAGCUCUGUUGUAAGAGAAGAACGAGUGUGAGAGUGGAAAGUUCACACUGUGACGGUAUCUUACCAGAAAGGGACGGCUAACUACGUG